ensembl:lncRNA
AUGGCAUCCACUAGCAAGGCGUUUAGGCAGUGUGUACAUCCGUGUCGGCGUUAUUUGACACCUGAUGACACACACAGUCUUUGCGUCUUUUGUUUGGGCGAAGAGCACGCACGCGACGUCCUUGAGGGGGCGAUUUGCGUGCAUUGCGAGCGUUUUUCUAUGAAAAAGCUGGUCACGACGAGGUGUUCCCCAUAGCGACCCCUAGAGGACGCAGUUCGAAGUUCCCUACUCAGGGAACCAUGGUUACAUUCGUAACCUGAGACGUUAACUGCAAUUAAUAUAAAUUUGAACUAUAAUACAUUUUUAAAUAACAUGCAGUUAUGUUUGAUGACAUUUUCUCAAUAUUAUUUCAGUGUAAUAUUUCUGCAAUGGCCAACAACUAAACUGCUGUUUUUGGCACUAAUAUUAUUUUGUAUAAUUAACUGUGAUAAAUUAGCAUGUUAAAUUGGCAGCUCUAUUUAAAAUAUAUAUUUGCAAUAUAUUUAACAAAAGGCUUUUUUUCUAUCCAUCCAUCCAUCUGCUAUGAUUUUAGUUGAUUCAUAAAACGUACAUAUAGAAUUUAAAUGUAAGCACACAGCACAAACUAGAACUUUUUUCCCUACAUCUCCGUUCAUUGUUGAGAAGUGGAAACCUACAGUGCGGUGGACCCUUCAUCUGAAGGUCAGGUUGACUUUCCUUGUCACCUCAUUUACCAGGCAUGAAACACGCCGCCAUGCCAUGUAAUGGAGUGACAGAAAGUAUCGGGCUGGGCCUGCUCAGACGGCCUUGAUCCUGGUCACUGGUACGGAAAGCUCAUGACAUGGCCCCACCAAGCAGCCGGCAGGUCUCCUCCAUUUCAAUACGCUGCUUGGCAUGUGCGGUUUGUGCAGUGGUACGUCUAAUAGGGGCUGUCACUGAGUGACCUGAGCUGAUGCUUGCUGAUAGGUCACAAUGCUCUAAUUCGCCACCCCUUUGCUUAAGUCACCAGGCAUCAGUUUCAUCAGUUAGCUCCACACGUCUUACUGCAUUUCAGCCCCCUCGCUGGGGCCCGGGCCCCAGGCUCACUUCAAACGCCAUUAGACCAUCAGUCUAAUCAAAUAACCGCCAUACUGGCUGCACGCAGACUGGAGUUUAGCGGUUACAGUUUGAGAAGGUUCUUGUGGCUAAUUUUUCUCUCAUCCUAAAGUUCAGCUGUUUCAGUCCUUGCCCACAAAGAGAGACUGUUAAUUGUUCCUUCAUGAGUCAAUUUGCUGUUUCACUUCCCCUGCAUUAAGAAAGAACACAGCUGUAAUAACAUUCCUCAUCCCCUUUUCAGUGCCUUGGCUGUGCAAAAACAGGCCCCAAUUUAUAAUCUCCAACAGGAAAAUAAUGACCAAACGCCAAACUGUUUUUGUCAGUGAUAAAGUCACGUUAGAGUUUACAGUUCACUUUACACAAAAUCAUUUUUAAAGGGUCUGCCUGGUAUGUUCAUAAUCAAAACCGAACAAAAUGAAGGAUGGUUGCAUAAAAAAAAAACAAAAAAAAAACAUGCAAAAUGAAGUGGAAAGGCACCUUAAAUUUAUUUUCAGAAUGAUCCAUUUAUGUUCUAAUGCUGAGUAACAUGAAUAAUUAAUAUAUUCACAUGAAAGUCCAUCAUUCAUUUUGUGUUAAGCUAGUUGGCCUGGCCUUGUUAGCCCCUGCUGGUACACUGUAAAAAAUAUAAAGUUGAGAAAACUUUAGCAGAUUUUUUGGGUUUUCUCAACUUCUUGUUUUCAGUUUAUACAACAAAAAGUUUAU